rnacentral:lncRNA from 1 species
CUGUAGGAUAGGAAGAAUUGAAUAGGAAGAUAAAAGGACAUUCUUCAGAGUGAAACUGAACCAGACAAAGGCCCUUCUCUCCGUGAUCAACUUCCUUUCGUAGUACCCAUACCCCCAGGGGAAUUCGAAUCCCCGCCGCCUCCUUGAAAGAGAGGUGUCCUAACCACUAGACUAUGGGGGUAUAUUGAAUAGACUUUGACUAAGAAUAAGGUUCCCUUCUCUUCCACUCUAUCUCCUUAUUGGAUUGGUUAUUGAGUAGACUUUGACUAAGAAAAAGGUUCCCUUCUCUUCCACUCUAUCUCCUUAUUGGAUUGGUAGGUGCAUUCCUCUUUCUCUUCUCUAAGUCGACUAGACUUCCCUCACAUCC